rnacentral:misc_RNA from 1 species
UCUCCGUUGGUGAACCAGCGGAGGGAUCAUUACAGAGUUGCAAAACUCCCAAACCCUUGUGAACAUACCCGUUACAGUUGCUUCGGUGGGCGGCCCCAGGGCGUGGCCGCAGCCUCUUCUCACGAGGCGCCCGCCGGAGGUAUAUAACUCUUUGUAUUAUGUUCUCUCUGAGUAAAUUUAUAAUAAGUCAAAACUUUUAACAACGGAUCUCUUGGUUCUG